AGUAACACGUGGUCAACCUUCCCUACAUGGGGGGAUAACUAGCCGAAAGGUUAGCUAAUACCGCAUGACAUCUACGAGUGGCAUCACAUGUAGAUCAAAGGAGCAAUCCGCUGAAGGAUGGGACCGCGCCCGAUUAGUUAGUUGGUGGGGUAAUGGCCUACCAAGACUCCGAUCGGUAGCUGGUUUGAGAGAGCGACCAGCCACACUGGGACUGAGAAACGGCCCAG
rnacentral:rRNA from 1 species